CUCUUUUGCACGUGAACAUUCAGAACACACGUUAUUCGUGUAUAUCUUUGUGACUGAUAGACUCACAAGUAGUCUAUAACGUGUUGAUAACGUGUCAAGUAACGACAAAGGUAUACACGUACAAGGUGUGUUUCUGAAUAUUUACGUGUAAAGAA
rnacentral:misc_RNA from 1 species